rnacentral:misc_RNA from 1 species
GAUGAAGAACGCAGCGAAAUGCGAUAAGUAAUGUGAAUUGCAGAAUUCAGUGAAUCAUCGAAUCUUUGAACGCACAUUGCGCCCCCUGGUAUUCCGGGGGGCAUGCCUGUUCGAGCGUCAUUUCACCACUCAAGCCUCGCUUGGUAUUGGGCAACGCGGUCCGCCGCGUGCCUCAAAUCGACCGGCUGGGUCUUCUGUCCCCUAAGCGUUGUGGAAACUAUUCGCUAAAGGGUGUUCGGGAGGCUACGCCGUAAAACAACCCCAUUUAAGGUUGACCUCGGAUCAGGUAGGGAUACCCGCUGAACUUAAGCAUAUCAAUAAGCGGAGGA